rnacentral:rRNA from 1 species
ACGAACGCUGGCGGCGUGCUUAACACAUGCAAGUCGAACGGAAAGGCCCUGCUUUUGUGGGGUGCUCGAGUGGCGAACGGGUGAGUAAUACGUGAGUAACCUGCCCUUGACUUUGGGUUAACUUCAGGAAACUGGGGCUUAUACCGGAUAGGAGCUCCUGCUGCAUGGUGGGGGUUGGAAAGUUUCGGCGGUUGGGGAUGGACUCGCGGCUUAUCAGCUUGUUGGUGGGGUAGUGGCUUACCAAGGCUUUGCCGGGUAGCCGGCCUGAGAGGGUGACCGGGCACAAGGGGACUAAGAGACGGCGCAGAGGCCAACGGGAGGCAGCAGUGGGGAAUAUUGCACAAAGGGCGGAAGCCUGAUGCAGAAACGCCGCGGGAGGGAUGACGGCCUGCGGGUUGUAAACCGCUUUCGCCUGUGACGAAGCGUGAGUGACGGUAAUGGGUAAAGAAGCACCGGCUAACUACGUG